UAAAAGACGCCUUCUAUUUCUUUUUCCUGCUAACUCCUCACAUAAGUGACUCAAGCUUAAAGAGGUCCUAAUGGUGGAAUUUUAAUCUUCAAAUCGUCUAAGUCUUCAACCUUCUAAUCAGAUUCAUCAUGAAUCGAUUCGCUCCCAUCGGCAUUCCAACCGGCAAACAAACCCCAAUUCGGUUUGAGCAAAUCGAAUCGUGAUUUGCGGGUAAACCUACCGGAUCAUGUGACACUGAGUCAUAAACUUGAAGUCCGAAUCAAGCCCAAGAAAUUAAGGCCUGGUAAACAAUGAGCACAUCAAGUUGACAUUUACAAACUCAGCGGCACAAAAAUAGGCAAAUGCUUGGAAUCGUAGAAGAGAUGAUUUUCGUUUUUCAAUUUUACAUUCAGAUGACAAACCAAGGGUUUCACGGUCAUAAUUUGGGAGAGCAAAUAUAAAGAGAAUGA